CCUACGGGAGGCUGCAGUCGAGAAUCAUUCACAAUGGGGGAAACCCUGAUGGUGCGACGCCGCGUGGGGGAAUGAAGGUCUUCGGAUUGUAAACCCCUGUCAUGUGGGAGCAAAUUAAAAAGAUAGUACCACAAGAGGAAGAGACGGCUAACUCUGUUCCAGCAGCCGCGGUAAUACAGAGGUCUCAAGCGUUGGUCGGAAUCACUGGGCGUAAGGCGUGCGUAGGCUGUUUCGUAAGUCGGGUGUGAAAGGCCGGGGCUCAACCCGCGGACGGCACAUGAUACUGCGAGACUAGAGUAAAGGAGGGGGAACCGGAAUGCUCGGUGUAGCAGUGAAAUGCGUAGAGAUCGAGAGGAACACUCGUGGCGAAGGCGGGUUCCUGGACAUUAACUGACGCUGAGGCACGAAGGCCAGGGGAGCGAAAGGGAUUAGAUACCCUUGUAGUC
rnacentral:rRNA from 1 species